rnacentral:rRNA from 1 species
AUGCAGCGGACAACUCAAAACAAGAGUUUCAAACUAAAGCAGCUCAACUGCGCCAUGCAUGCAAACAAGACUUCUCCAGCGAAGCAGAAGGAGGGACGUGACAUCUCCGUGGACAUGUACCCGUUCAUACGCAAGUACAAGGACGGCAGCAUCGAGCGUUUCCUGCGCAGCCCAUUCGUGCUGGCGUCGCCGGAUCAGGGCGGCAACCACGGGGUGGCGACGAGGGACGUCGUCGUCGACAAGGCCACCGGCGUGUCUGUGCGCCUGUUCCUCCCGUCCCGUGCCGCCGACACCGCAGGCAGGAAUCGGCUUCCCCUCGUCAUCUACGUCCAUGGCGGCUCGUUCUGCACGGAGAGCGCUUUCGGGCGGACGUACCACCGCUACGCGACCUCCCUCGCCGCCAGCGCCGGAGCCCUCGUCGUGUCGGUGGAGUACCGUCUAGCGCCGGAGUUCCCCAUACCCGCGGCAUAUGACGACGCGUGGGCCGCGCUCCAGUGGGCGGCGUCCUCGUCCGACCCAUGGCUGGCCAGCUACGCCGACUGGGGGCGCACGUUCCUGGCCGGCGACAGCGCGGGCGGCAACAUCGUUUACCACACGGCAGUCCGCGCCAGCCACGAGGUCAACGAUGACAUGAUGGACAUCGAGGGGCUGAUCAUGGUGCACCCUUACUUCUGGGGAGCCAAGCGGCUGCCCUCGGAGCUCGCGUGGGCGGACGAGAGCGAGGGCGCCAGUGCCACGGCGGUGUUCCCGCCGUACGGGGUGGACCGGCUGUGGCCGUUCGUCACGGCCGGCCAGGCCGGCAACGAUGACCCCCGGAUCGACCCUCCUGCCUCGGAGGUCUCAUCGCUGGCUUGCCGCCGCGUGCUCAUCGCCGUGGCCGGGAAGGACACUCUCCGGGACCGCGGCCUCGACCUGGCGGCCCGCAUGCGCGAUCACGACGCGCCGUGGCCUUGGAUGACGCCGGGGCGCCGCGAGGUGACGGUGGUCGAGUCGGAGGGCGAGGACCACGGCUUCCACCUCUACUGUCCGCUGAGGGCCACCAGCAAGAGGCUCAUGGGGAGCAUCGUGGAGUUCAUAAACCAGCAGCCCAGCUCGUCGCCUGCUAAUCCUAUGGUGCUCGGCGUGCCCACGACGCCGUUCAAGGACGUGUUUGGGUAUGGCAUGGCCAUGAAGUCCUGGGGCACACGGUCCAGUAUCGCGCGUAACAGAGGACACGGUCCUGGAGCACACGGUCCAGUAUGGCCAUCCAACAAAAUCUCAGUUCGACUGCCGAUGCCUGCUGGUAAAGCUCAUCACAAACAACAUCCAUUAUCUGCUGCGGCAUCGUGGGGUUGUGUGAUGAACAAGUUUUUCUAG